AUGAACGCUGGCGGCGUGCCUAAUACAUGCAAGUCGAGCGAACAGACGAGGAGCUUGCUCCUCUGACGUUAGCGGCGGACGGGUGAGUAACACGUGGAUAACCUACCUAUAAGACUGGGAUAACUUCGGGAAACCGUAGCUAAUACCGGAUAAUAUAUUUAACCGCAUGGUUCAAUAGUUAAAUACGGUUUUUCUGUCACUUAUAGAUGGAUCCGCGCCGCAUUAGCUAGUUGGUAAGGUAACGGCUUACCAAGGCAACGAUGCGUAGCCGACCUGAGAGGGUGAUCGGCCACACUGGAACUGAGACACGGUCCAGACUCCUACGGGAGGCAGCAGUAGGGAAUCUUCCGCAAUGGGCGAAAGCCUGACGGAGCAACGCCGCGUGAGUGAUGAAGGUCUUCGGAUCGUAAAACUCUGUUAUUAGGGAAGAACAAAUGUGUAAGUAACUAUGCACGUCUUGACGGUACCUAAUCAGAAAGCCACGGCUAACUACGUG
rnacentral:rRNA from 1 species